CCAAUACUCUAAUAAAUGGGACCCUCUUUUUCCUUUAUCUUGUGGCACGGAUAAAUCGUGGAAAAUUUAUUUAUAAAUCUUUUUACUUAAUUUUGAAUGGCCUUUAAGGUAAAAAAAUACAUUUUGAAUUUGGAGCAUAAUUUAAAAACGUAAAUGAAAUUAUCUGCAUACUAUGGCGAAUACGCCAUAACGUUCGUCAGUACAACAGUGUAUUAUAAUUGAGGACUCUGUUUUAGCGUAUUUACCAUAGAUGGCGCAUUAUAAUAAACUAAGAAGGUAUCAUUGAAUUUUGGUUAUAUUUAUACGAGUUACUUGAGAGCGGAGCGUAUUGUAACACAUCAUGGUUCUCUGAAGCAUGAUACCCAGAAAUAAGUAAGUAAUAUUUCAAUAAAAUUUAUUUCUGAUUAUAAUAGAUAAUGAGACCUUCCCUUUUCUCUCUGUAUUUACUAUAGAUGUUUAUUUUUUCGAAGUACUAAAAAAAGAAAAAGUUGGGUAGAGCACCAUGCCGAGGCUAAGGUUUGAACUCAGAGCCUUAUGAGGAUACGGCAGGUCUCUUCCCCACUGCGUGUUUAGGGCACUCCUUGGAUAAUUGUGGAGAUUUUUUUUUGUAGUACUGACAAAAAUUUUAAAAAUUUCUACUGGUCCCCACGGACCAAAGUAGACGCGAAGCGUCUA